rnacentral:rRNA from 1 species
UACAGAGGUGGCAAGCGUUGUUCGGAAUUACUGGGCGUAAAGUGUGCGCAGGUGGCCGCGCAAGUCGAGUGUGAAAUCCCCGAGCUUAACUUGGGAAUUGCGCUCGAAACUACGUGGCUCGAGUGUGGCAGAGGAAGGUGGAAUUCCACGUGUAGCGGUGAAAUGCGUAGAGAUGUGGAGGAACACCGAUGGCGAAGGCAGCCUUCUGGGCCAACACUGACGCUCAUGCACGAAAGCGUGGGGAGCAAACAGG